UCAAAGUCCACAUUUUUUAUAACAUUUGAUAAUGGUGCCACUAGUGAAAGAAAUACGUUUUGAGAUUUUUUAAUGUAUUUCUUAGGCAUUUUUCGGUUUCCAUUUUACAGAAAAAUAUGCAUAAUUAAAAUUAGUUUAACAAGCUAGAUAUCCUAUAUGACUUCUAAAUAUAUGUACGUGUAUAUUUUAAUCACAAAAGAUUUUCUAAUUAAUUAUUAUAACUAAUUUUAAUAUAUCAAAACACUUUCAAGUUUUAAAUAAGCUAAACAUGAACAUUACUUAGUUUUAAUAUACUGAAUAAACAAAUAUAUUUUGAGAAUUUAUUCGGAAGUCAAAGUUUAUAUAACAUAUGCUGGGAAUUCUAGCCUAACUAUUGGUACUGCUAAGCAAAACAAUACUCUGCGACAAAAUACCCGCUCUUUCUUAAAAACAAAACGAUUUAAAUAAAGAUUAGAAAGUCACAUAAAAAUCUGAUCUCACAAAUUACCCACUGAUUUCGCAAUUUAUUUCUGCGGGAUUCUUAGUGGUAGUUCAUUGUUUUGAUUGUCAUCUGUUCAGUAGCUCAUGAAUUCGUGGUUUUUUCGGCAACACUGAAAGUUCAUGAGCUCUCUCAGAAGACAAGAAAGGAGUUUCGGAUCAUUUUAUCUAUGUUGAAAAGUAGAUCGGCACAAAGAUAGGUGAAAUAUUAUUUUCUACUGAAAUAGAAAUCGUCAUAGUGUCUAUAUACAUAUGCAAGUAAAUAAUGGGAUAAUUUUUUAGUUUUGGGGAACAAGCCUAAGAAUCAGCCAGGAAAGAGUCAAUAGGCUAUCAGUACACGCGUUUUUACUCUUUUAAAAGGUGUGGCCUCCACCGCUAAUUUAUUAUACUAACAAAAGUGGUCAUAAACGAUAUACAAGUGUUUUCGAUCGGUGUGUGUUUAUAUGUAUAUUGAAAUAUGGGUAAAUGUAUAGUUUUGGUCCCUUAACGAAGGAGACCUCAAAAAUGAAAAUAUUUUUUUUUAAUUCGUCUUAUUUGACGCGAAGAUUACAAAUGAGUGAGCGGGAAGUGAAUUUUUCUAAUUAUUUAUGUACAUACACAUGGCAGAAAAAGUCUGCGUUCACCCACUGCUGUAUUUAAGCAUUCAACAAAAAAAUAUAUGCAAAUUAAAAGUUCAUUAAUUUCUGUUCUAUUGUUUUGAAGACAAUUCUUCGAUGAGUGUAUGGGCAAAAUUUUUUUAUAAUUUUAGCUGCGGCGUUCUCAGUUUACGGGAUUUUAGUACCGCUAUUUAAGUGGGUUAAGCAGAGAAAGUGUGCGUUCACUUUAGAUAUCGAUGGUUAGUUGUAUGAAAAGUACAAGUCUUUUAGAUCAAUUUUAAUAUUUAAAGUUAUUAAGAAAUCUCGAAAACUGUUGAGAGAUAGUACUACUCAGUCCAGAGAAUGUUAAGCAAUUGCAAGCAAACAAAAUGUCAUGAGUUUAAGCCACGAUCUGGGUGUCCAAAAAAACUAAGUGAAAGAGAAGAGCCCAAUAUAACCACUCUUCUGAAAUGUAAUCCACGACUGACAAUACAGUACGAAAAGUUCUGAAAAGAUCCGGAUUUCGUGGCAGAGUGGACGUAGAAAGCCCUACAUAUCGAGAGUAAAUCGACUUAAGAGGAUGGCCUUUGCAAAAGAGCACUUAAACAAGUCUCCAGUUUUGGAAAAGCGUUAUAUUUUCAUAU